rnacentral:lncRNA from 1 species
GGCGUAAAAUUUGAGCUAAGAUUGAUUAAAUAUGUAAUUGCAGUAUAGCAUAAUCUUUAGGAAAUAAAAGAUAUACAGUUUUUUAAAUUGGAAGGAAUAAAAUCACCUUUUUAUUUUUUAUUUUAUUUUUCUGACUACACGUGCAGUUCUUCCAGAAGCCAUCUAAAUCAAAAUGCAAAUAAUUUCUACUUGUGCUUUUUAUGGGGCGGUGGAAUUAUGUUGUCGGAUGAAACUGUGAUUCACGUUCUAGCUUUGGCAGGUAAACUUUCAAGUCAAUUAUGAAUUUCUUGAGCUAUCUUUCAGUCUAUUUAUAAAAUAUUCUUACGCACUGUGGCUAUAGUCACGUACGCAAUCUUUCUUUCUUUCAUGCACAUUUCCAUAAAAUCAACUCAUACAUUCCAACUUUGAAAUUUUCUGCAAUUCACAUUCUAUACCAUUAAGCAGUGUAUAUAUACAAACAGUGAGUUAUUCGAUUGUCGGACAACUUUGAAUAUGAACAAAACCUUCAGUUACAGAUGAUAUAUACUAUCUUAUGUAUUAUUCUCAUCAUUAUUAGCGAAAAUGCUAACUAAAAUUAUCAAGAUCUCACCAACCGUACGAAAAUUUUCAAAACGAGAAGCAAUAUAUAGAUAUAUUUCUGGAGGUUCUGUCCCAAAUCCUUGUAUAUAUGUUAGACAAAAUAAACCAGGAAUUGAUUAAGCAAAUAGAUCAAAAGAAGCAAAAGAUCCCUUCUUAAUUAAACAAUAUUAAUCCCAUAAUAAACAAAGAAAUAUGUUGAAGGGAUAAAUCCCAAAAUUCAUAAAAGGACAAACAUAUGAAUAUGAUGCAGCAGAAAGGGGGCAAAACAAGGAAGGAAAAGAAAAGAAAAGAAAAAAAUUAUACAGGUGAUUCCAUCCCUAAUCAGUAGCUAGCUAGGCUCUACCUAAUGAAAAGUGAAACUCAUCUCGUCGUAGACUUCAAUAUCCUUCCAGUCAUAUUCUAUCUAUGUAACAUGUUUCUCUCCGAAUUGUUUCAAGACAAAUAAUAAGCUAGAUGAAAAAGAAACAGCAACCACAUCUAGCUAGUGGAACAAAAAUAAAUAGGUAAUAAUUAAGUAUAUAUAUAUAUAUAUUUAGGCUUCAUCAGUAACUUGCCUGGCUUGAGCCUGUGUGCCGUGUGUGUGACUAGACGAAAGUUUGAACAAGAGAAAUCAUGGAGUCAUCACUUUCACCAUCACCUUCUGUUCUGCCAUCUCUGCAGUUAGAUCCACCGUAGCAGGCGGAUAGUUUUAGCAAGAACAGGCUCUACAACCAUGAGAUAUAUACAGAUAUAUAUACAGUGAGAGUAACCUUUUAGAUGAUCAGUCAGGGGAAACAAAAGUCAAGUAAUUAAUGGGUUUGGGAAAAUAAAGGGUGGUGAUGAUAUAUAUAUAUAUAUAUAUAUAUAUAUAUAUAUAUAUAUAUAUAUAUAUAUAUAUUGAAGUUGUAUAUAUAUAAUAUAUACAUAGAUAUAGAUAUAAAUAUAGAUAUGAAUGAAUAAUAAUGAUAAUGGAUCACCCAUUAGUAACUUUUGUUCUUUGACCCAACCCUGGCUGUUGUUAGCCAAAGAUGUAAUGAUGCAUGUGUGAGUGGGAUUCCUUUCAUUUUCAUUUUUAUUUUUAUCCCUUUGGCUUUAUAUUUUAUGCUAUCAGAGAGUUUCAGGCUAUUAUGGAGGCACUCAACAGCUUAUGCAGAUCCUCCUUUAAAGGGUACAGAACAGGAUCGAUCAUGCUCUGGACACUGCGCAAAAAUAUUCAGUUAUUCACGUUCUUUUAUACCCAGAUCAUCAUUGCCAAAGUUACGAAAUUAUCAUACAUCAUAUAUUAUCAAAGCUAGCCCCUUUUUUCAAAAUUUCACGAACAUUCCAUUAGGGUAACACAUUUCUCAUAAUAAUUAUCACAUUUCCG